UUACCGAGGUAUAUCUGUAUCCGUAACCGUGUCCGAGAUGAGUAAGCGGAUAUGGAUAUGGUAGGCAUCAUAUCCGAACCAUAUCCGGACCGAAUGCACCCCCACCGAGAGCUCUUGAAGCGGCAGAUGAAUUGGGAUCAACGAUCAUAUGUGGAAAUUAAGACAGACCCCACAGUGAAGAUUUUGAUCUCUGAAAUAAAUAUUGGCUAUGAUGCAGUUUCUGUUUAGUUUUCAAUCUGAAUGAUUCUAAGAUCCUGAAGAUUCUGCUGCCCGAGCUUUCUUUUUGAUUGGAUUGUUUGGCCUCUUGUCAUCUUCAACCUAGCUCGGCCUAGCGAUGAUUUUUAUGUGGUAAUCUGAGUAUCACUCUGAAGACCAAUUGUUGUGCUUGGAGAUCACCUUGAUCCUUGGUUGUAUAAUAUUUUCAAAUUAGUCCCUCAAAUCAUUGAAUUUGCUGUUUAGUCCCUCAGAUUUAAUUCUAUCACACUUUAAGGGUAAAUUUCACUAAACCCUCAAGAACUUUGGCCAAGUUACCGGCCCUUCCCAAAUGCUAGGAAGAGGGUGACGAAAUGGGAGCAAACUAAUCAAGUGAGAGCUCUUGAAGCGGCAUAUGAAUUGGGAUCAAUGGUCACAAGUGGAAACGAAGAUAAAUCGGAAGCGAUGAUUUUGAUCUCUGAAACAGGUAUUGACUGUGAUGCAGAAUUUAUUUAGAUUUCAAUCUGAAAGAUUCUAAGAUCCUGAAGAUUCUGCUGCUCGAGCUCUCUUUUCCUCUCGUCGUCUUCAACCUAGCUUGGCCUCAUGAUGAUCUUUAUGCGGUAAUCUGAGUGCCGCUCUGAAGGCUGAUUUUUGUUUUUCCAAAAUUUAUCUUUUAACCCUUUUUUCACCUUUUCAUUCUCCAUACUCUAAUUGUUUUCAAAAUUUCUAUUUUUCUUGUCGAAUUAGUAUUUAUUUUUAAACUUGAGAGGAGGAAGCUUGAAUGGGUUCUAGGCAUUUGAAGCAUAAUCAAUUCCAUAUUCGUUGAUUAUUGUAGAUUUAGAUGAACAUUAGAUGGCAUUAAACUCUUUUGUUUUAUGUCUGUUCAGAUCAUGCAUUUCUAGAUAAAUCUUUUUUUUUCUUCCGCAAGACCAUGUGAAGUACAUGUAGCAACAAUUUUUAUCACCUAUGUUUUUUAUGAAUUAUUAGAAUAAUGAAACUGCCUACAACAAGCAUAUUAAUUUGUCAUUGGCAUAGAGCUUCAGGUCUUGACAUUUUCUGCAGCAACUCUGUGAGGUAAGUUAUAUCUUAAUCCUUUUUCUUGCCUUUUUACGUUUAUGUUAUGUGUGGUUAUGGUAGCUUUUGAGAUAGAGUCUAUAUAUGACUGAGUUUCAUUGAUUACCAAUAGCCGCAUGUUGAAAACAAAGGAGGGAAAAAUGAUUGAAAAAAAAGACUGUUUAGGGAUAUUUGCUUUCUGUUCCAAUGCAUGCAACAUGUGCCUGAAACUAAAAGAGCAUUAAUUUUAAUGCUAAUAAGAUUAGCAUUCACCUCAAAAUAUUUGCAUGCUGAUGCAGUGGUUAUAUCCUUCAAUCGUGUAGUUAACCUCUUGAAUGAAAGCAGCAACAUGUUCAGUUUUGCUCGGAUUAGAAUACGUAUUUGACUUGUUAUAGAAAACUUGAGAAUGGGAUGGAUAGCUUGCUACUAACCUAUCAUGUCCUUGAUCCUCUCACCUAUGGCUAAGGGUCCGUUUGGUUCAAGUUUUUUACCUUGGGUCUUGGGCAGAAAGCCUGCCAAAAGUGCCCUUUUGGCAAGCUUUCUGCCCAAGACCCAAGGUAAAAAUGCACUUUUGGCAGGCUUUCUGCCCAAGACCCAAGGUAAAAAGGCACUUUUGGCAGGCUUUCUGCCCAAGACCCAAGAUAAAAAACUUGAACCAAACGGGCCCUAAGAAUAAUGAUUGAGGUGAUUCUAGGGGAAGUUGAAUCCAAGGUAAGUAUGAAGGAAUGAUUCAUUGGAAAGAGGAAUCAAGCUUCUUUGGUGAAGAUGAUUGCAAGUUCCAGAGGAUUGUAAUUUUGAUGGAGAAUGGGCUCAUAUGAUGUGAACUUUACUACACUCAGUCAUUGUACUUUACUAUUGCCAGAGUGCAAUCUAUCUGGUUCAACUAUUGCGGAUAAUUCUGUCAUUUUGGCUUCUGUUAUUUUUCUACUCCUGUGCCAGAAUGAAUUUGGUGACAGGGUAGACCCUCUGACUCUGUAAGAGGAAGAAGUUGCUUAGAUCGAUCUAUUAAUAUAACAUAUUAUAACGUGUGAAGAGUAAUUAAGUCUUUCUAAUAUUGCUUCCCAAUAAAACUAGAGUUUAGCAUUACUGCUUCUAGUCGCGUGGAAAAUACAUUUGGAGAAAGAGUAGGCUCUGUAAGAGGAAGGUGUUGCUUAGAUAGGUCUACAGAUAUAACAGAUUAUUAUCAUCUACAUAGAGUUUUGGAUUCUUCUUAGUUUUCUUUCCAAUAAAAUUAGAUUUUAGUAUGUAAUGUUGGUCAUGGACACAUGGUGGUCUUAUAUGUUGGUAGAGCAAGUUAAUGUUCAUAUCAUUCCACGGUGGAGCCUCAGCUGCGAGCAGUGACAUUUGAAGAUGAUCAAAACUCAAAAGAGUGGAUUUCUGCAUGUACUGUUAAGAGUUAAAAUCAAGAUUGUGGCUGGUAUUUGGCAAUUUGAGAUCUAAAAUUUAGAGGAUACGGAGCCAUUGGGAUCCUUCAUCAUGAUCAGUCUUGAGGAAAUAAGAGAGAUUUAAAUCCCACUUGGCAAAAGGCUGCUACCAUUUUCUAGAAUUCCACUCCAUUUGCAUCGUUCCUCUUAAUUUGUUAAUGAUCAGCUGAUGCUGAAUGUAUUAAGAAUUAUGAUAAUGUAUUAUUUGAUGUACUCAUCAGUAAGCAGGUGUAGUAGUGUGGUUAUUAAUUUUUUUUUUUUGGCAUCAGUUGAGAAAACAAGUAGUAGAUUGGAUAAAAGAAAACUGCAGAAGCCAAUAAAUGUACUAUGAUUAUGUUUCGUGAAAUUUGUUCUCUUGGUUGUAUGGCGAUUAGAAAAAGGUAGUAAGAAAGAAUUUUCAGUAUUUGACGAUAA